GACCUGAGUCACCGGUGCUGAUGAUUUUGCCGGCUUCACGCAGCUUUGCCAAGAAGUGGUGCCGGGCACAAGCGGCAGAGAGUCACAAUUAGCUUCAGAUUUAGUGGCAUGAGUCCUUGCGACAGAGUUGUGAAAACCUUUGACGUUUUGUAACCGGAUCCAUAUUUUGGAGUAAGAAGCCAUGAAUAUUCCCGAGACGCCCAGCUAGACGGCAGACCAACAGUGAGAACUCCGAGUCUGGUGAAAGCAACAACCAAAAAUCGUCUGAUCUUCACAUGAGUUUGAUAAAUACUUAGAUGGAUGACAACCAGUGAAUGCUGAGCAUUAAGAUGAUAUUACACGUAUGGUCAACCACAAAUAAAUGUCAGAUGCCAUGAAUAUAUUUGAAACUUGCAACAUCCCUUUGAAGUGUGAUGAGACCGACAGUGUCAC